CUUUAUUGUAAUUGAAAUCUAUAUAUUUGAAAAUGUAGAACAUCCAAAAAUUUAAUACAUUUCAAUUGGUAUGCUAUUAAUCACAAUUUUUUAAAAUCACAAUUAAUAAUUGAGUUAAUCAUGAGAGUUAACUGUGAUGAAUGAAAAGUAGGGCUGCUGAUUAAUCUACAGUAACCUGAUCAUAACAACCACUGCACUUUCAUUGCAGUGAGAUGUACAAUAGUGACUUCAAAAUGUAAAUUCACCUUUUAGCACUUCACAUCCCCAUGGAAUAUAUUAUGAAGUUACCAUUUUAUACAAGUUGAAAUAUUUUUAAAGGAAGGCAGUAUAUAUGGAUAACCUAACCUAUGUCUAUUGGCACUAUAAUAGCAAAGAAAUCUAGGUUCAAUUGCAGGACUCUAUCCUCUACAUUGAACUACCACUAUCCACAUUGGACCUUUCUACAGUCGACAUAAAGGCAUCCUUAAAAACAAGUUAGUAUUUGCAUAUAUGGCUGGCUAGCUAUUUUCCUAUUCUAGACAUGGCUAGAGAGAACAGCUUGUACUAGUUUGGAGGAAAUAACAAUAGAGAGAAUAUGGUGCCUCACUCAUUGAGAAUAAUCAGUCUCCAUGCCUUAAUUCCAAAUAAUUAGGACAUGUCUACCUGGUUGUAGUUCUACUCAUGAGCUGGAGGGACUAGCAUUUUGGUUUCUACACUUGGCUACUGUACAAUUGAAUGUAAAUUGCCAGGAGCUCUGAUUCAGGAGGAGGGGGUGAGAAUUAUAAGCAGCAUUUUUUCUAUUUUCCUAUUAAAGAUUAACUAACAAUAUUUCCAGAACACGGUUUCUGGGGAUCCUUUCAUCAAUCAACAGAAUACCUUGCCCUAAUAUUUUGUGGAAAAAGGGGCAUCUCCCUAACUAACAUGGAAAUUCAAUUGUAAAGAGAGCUCAGCUCUUUCAUAGAUCUGCACCCAGAAGUCCAAAGCAAGGAAGUGAUCUCACUUUCAGGUAAUGGCAGCCAAACUUGAUGUGCAUUUUUUUCCAUUUAAAAAAUCAUCACUCCAGUGGUUAGAGAAGCUAACAAUGCAUUGAUAAGUAGAGUGGCUGAAGUGCUUCUGGGCUGUGUCAAACUACUAAACAUCUGUGCACAAAAAGCAGCAGCCCCAAAUUGAGAGGGCGGAUGCAAGAUUAAAAUCCAAUGGGGAUUCUGUAUGCUUCUAUUAUAAGAAUAAUCCCUGGGCCCACUGAAGUCACACCUAGUUUGGCUUCAGUGGUUUUAAUAGUUUGGGAUACAUCUUUGCACACUACUCUGAGACUAGGGAAUCUAUGGAGACAUUUCAGAGCAAGAGCAGACUAACUUGUAAAAGGGAUAGUGAGUAAAAGUUGAGGUCUAAGAUACAGGAUGGAGACCCUUUAGCAGAUCUAGUGUCCAUUGUAAGAAACAUUUUCAAGUGAAGGUUAUUUUUAGUUCUGCUGUCAUUUUUAGUUUUUCGUUGUUUCAUGUUGAGGUGAAACUAGUUCAGUUACAGCACCUAAUCACACCUUCCAGUGGAAAAAAAAUUUUGUACCUCAAAAGUAUGUUUAUUUGAAUGUUCCAUUGUAAAGGGACUAAGAUAAAAAAAAGCUCUCCUUCCUCCACCCCUCAGUCUUUAACUGUAAUGUUUCAUUUGCCAGAUACAAGUAAUUGUAUGUAUGACCCAGUGUAUCAUGAUUUCAUAGGAGGGCACUGAAAUUGUGAAAAUGUUCCUAAACACUGAUCAUUUAAUGUUUGGGGUUUUGUUUUUUUUUUUUUUAAGGAAGCUUUCAAGGAUGGAAUGAAUUUUACAAGUAACUUGAGUCAAUUUUAGUCAGUGUCAUUCCAGCCUUGCGAUUGACUAUUUGUACAGUUCAUUCUGUGGAAAUGCCAUGAAACUCAAUACUUUGCCAUUUUGUCAUGAUUUUUUUUUUAUAAAGAUUACACCAGGCCCUAAUUAUAUGGCUUCCAUCACCAUAGUACCCAAGGAAUAGUUCAGGUUGCAACUCUUCAGCACUUACAUAAAAGCUUCAUUUUAAUUUAUUUAAGGGAUAUACUAGUGUGUGACUUUUCAUUAUGAAAGACCUGAGGAGAGGUAACAGGGGACUGAAAGAGGGCACUUUCAUUAAAGGAUCUACAUCUCUACUGGCAUUUUUGACAACUCAAUACCAAAGAAAAAUUAGAUUAGGAAACGCCCGACCCACCCAAAAAGCCAUUCUUAAAACUCUAGUGGACUUUAUUAGAAUACAAGCAUUGACAGGUAAAACACAAAAAUACCACAGUUUAAUAUUAAACAAUUAACACCACCACGGUCAGUGGUAACAGAUUAAGUACAUUAAUAAUAAAAUCUAGUGCCUGUACUUAUACAAAAUGUAAACAAUUACUGUGGCAGUUAAUAUUUAAUGAUUACGGUCAUGUGAAAUACCUGGAAUAAAAAUUAUUCACCUUUCCUUA